CAGAAACUUGUGCCCACAACGGCGACGAAAAUUCGCCCAAACUCUUGCUUUUGAACGUUUUUUACUCCACUGAACCUGCUGUCUGGCUGACAUUGGACUCUUCCUUUCAACAGCUGUUAAAUUUUUUAAGAUUUCUCUCAACUUGGUAUUGCUCAGCACUACACAGCAGCGUGUUUUGAAUGGAAGAAGAUCUUUGAAUGGUUUCCAAAACUAACAAUAAAGGUUUGCAGUAUGGGGAAGCGAAUGUAUGCUUGAUUAGUAGCAUUGUCAGUUGGGAUGUCGCUCUGCGUUGUAAGGAUAG